UCCAGAACUCAUGCAUCAAUGACACCUCAAGCUUUUAGUAGAGACAUAAUCAUAGAACGCUUAGGAAGAGUGGACUCUUUUUUUUUAAAUUGUAGGAUGCACUGUAACCUAUUGUCAUUUCCUAUGGCUCAUGUGUUCUUUGACGUUUCAUCAUAAAUUCACAUAAUGUAAGUCUAUUACCAUUAAAGAAAACUCUCCAUCUUGAUUGAGGCAACUUUUAUUCUUCUUUUAAAAUAUAAUGGCUUUUGUCAGUUCUGUGUUUAGGUUACAUCUGAUGUUAAAAUGGACACAUUUCGGCCAUAGAGGCUUCAAUCAUCAGAUGCUGAUGAAGACUUUAUGGCCAGCCAAAAUGGGUCCAUUGUGAGUGUUGAUAUGGAAUAAAUACUCAUACUUAAUCCUCUUUGUUCCUAUGUGGAACACAUGUUUUCUAUGAGAGAGCGCCACUGCUGCUGAUCUCCAGCCUUUUUGGGAAAUGUGUUGAAAUAUGUUAUAAAAUAAUGGAUUAUGUGUUGUGAUUCCUUAUUCGAUCAAGUCUUAAGAAAUCUUAGCGUAGGUCCUUAACUUCUUUAGUGUUACCAAUCAGAAGGUUAUUAACACUGUAAUAACACAAUGCACACACUGUUUACAGAUAUCAUUCCAUGGCCCUUGUGUAGCAAAUAGUAAGUAGUAAGCCUUGGACAGGAAAGCCUUGUCCGUGCCAGAUGGACCAUAGUGCCAAAUGACUCUGUAUAAUUUCCCAGCAGUAUAGCCUUGAUCAAUGUAGUGAAAUUCUAGACCUCUAUAGAAUUUUAAAUAAAUUUGCCGCAAGGAAAGAAGAAUGUAUUGGUGGAAAUUAGUUGUGUUUAUUGAAUUUACAGUAGUUACUGGAUGCAAAGAGAUGGACAGAUAUGAAAUGGAAGCCUAAUGACAGCCAUUUGUAAUAGAUUUUUUUUUAUAUGAAUAUGCAUCACAGAGAGUAACAAUGAGAGUGGGCGUUACCUUCAACUCUGAGAUCAGUGUAGGAUGUUUCCAUGGUUACUACCAUGGCAACCUUUACCAAAAAACAGACAUCAGCCUAGAACAAAUCAGUAUGGAAUAGUCUGAUUUCCAUGGCCUCGAGGGUCAUUGUUGGUGAAACUCAACAACCCUUUCACUGUGCUGUAGAACUACAUCUCUAUGGAAAAGGGGCAUGCUGUAGAAAGUUGGAUAACUGAAUGGUGCCUCAACUGAAAUGGACAGACAACCAAAAGACAGACUUAACUGCUACAAUAAUACCGGGCUAUACUGCAGGAAGAAUCAUCUCCAAGGUCUUUUUGCAACAUCGAGUAUUACAAAUGGCCUGAAGUACAGUGAAAAGAUUGAGUUCAGUUUGGUAUCAUCUAUUAUGGAUUAAUUUCAAAAUGCGCUGUAUAAAACAAUGUUGGAAAAAUACCUUUGGGAUCAUUUUAGCAGUAGACCUCCUCUGUCUACAUUUUUCUUAGGUCAUUAACUGUGCCAUAGGGUUAGGUUGAGUGGGUUUGAGACAGGGGCUCAGCAGCAAUAGCCUACUGAAAUGGCUUUCCAAGCAUAGAUCCAAUAGUCUCAAAAUCUAUUUCUUAAAGAUCCAAUGCAGCCACUUUAUCUCUAUAUCAAAUAAUUUAUGGGUAACAAUUAAGUAACUUACUGUGAUUGUUUUCAAUCACAGUUGACUGCACAGGGCCUUUAAUGAGCAAGGAUGUGAUACUACAACCAAAACAUGACAUUUACAUAAAUUCUUAAUGUUAUUAUUGGUUUAUUUGUAAUUAUUUGCCAUCUUUUAUUUUGGAUUUGCAUUCUAGUAUUUGGGAAAGGUCAUUUUUAACAUGACUCCAGCUGGCUUUCUGCAGAAACAUGACAAACAUGAUCCAUACAGCUAAUUUGGAAAGUAUUCAGACCCCUUGACUUUUUCCAUACUUUGUUACGUUACAGCAUUAUUGGGGCGGCAGGGUAGACUAGUGGUUAGAGUGUUGGACUAGUAACCGGAAGGUUGCAAGUUCAAACCCCCGAGCUGACAAGAUACAAAUCUGUCGUUCUGCCCCUGAACCGGCAGUUAACCCACUGUUUCUAGGCAGUCAUUGAAAAUAAGAAUUUGUUUAACUUGAUUUAACUGACUUGCCUAGUUAAAUCAAGGUAAAAAAUAAUCUAAAAUGGAUUGAUUUUUCCCUCAUCAAUCUAGCACAAUACCCCAAAAUGACAAGGCAAAAACAGUUUUUUUGAAAUUGUACCAAAUGUAUAUAUAUAUAUAUAUAUAUAAUGUGCAAAAAAAAAAAAAAGAAAUCAGGAAGGGGGCAAAGGAUUUUUCACAGCAC
ensembl:lncRNA